UUUUUUUUUUAACCUCAAGAUGUAGCUUAUAUGUGGGGGAAUAUCAUCCUGAAACCAAAAGCUAGUAUUCAAAGGAAAUUGCAGCAGUGAAAACACUUUCUGCACCUCUCAUAACUGCACCAAAAGAGACAUAAUCAAGGUCAGAUGAGGAGAAGCAUCAAUAUUCACUUUAAUGGAUCCUGGCGGAGAGGGGGCACCAAUCCAAAGCUUUCCUAACAGAAGAUAACAAGUCAGAAAGUACCUUACUCAAUUCAGCAGUUUUCCAUGUUCUCAAUAAGCUAGCAGCACUAGUAACUAUGUGAUAAGGUGGAGUUCGUGUUUAGUUCCAUCAAUUGGAAAUCCUCCCUACCUCAACUGAGUUACCAGAAACGAAGCCAAACAAAAAAGUCUGCAUAGCCAUGGCUUGAAAUAUGAUAACCACAAUACCUCAAACUGCUUGGGCAUGAAAACACUCAAUUAAAGCAUGCAGAGUUCUUUCAGCUUCUCCACAGAAAUCACAAACAACAUCCAAUUGUAUACCACGACCCUCCAAGACACUGUUACUGAGAAUUUGUAGGCUUAUAAGACACUUAGGAACAGAUAAAUGUCUAAGCCAGCAUUAAUACAUGUCACAUAUACAUACAUACAAACAUUAACUGAAAACAGGUGCUCAUAGAAUUUUUCACAUACUCUUACAUAAGACUUAGCCAAUAUACAUUCCAAAGUAACUGCUCAUUUAGUAGUCUAAUACCCAAAUACAGAAACAUAUAUCCAAAAGGAGUGUAACUUUGGUCUGGAUGCAAAUCACUGGCCAACUUCUAGUAGCACUGCUAUCCUUCUCUACCUCCAUGCCAUAAAAAACGCGCUAAGCAAAAAUACUUAGGGUGCUCAAUAACCUCACAGAACAAAUAUCUAAAAAUGAUUAUUUUUUUUAUAAAUAGUCUAAUAUGAUUACAAGGCAUUAAGAAUAAACAUAAAGAUAUCAAAGUGCAAAGCUAUUUAUUUGGAUUUUCGUACUUAUAUGACUAAUUUUAUAAGAUAUAUUAUAUAGUUAUCAGAAAUUACUUUUGAUUUAUAAUAUACGUAAAUUUUAUGAAAGGUUAUUUUUAGAUGUUUCAAAUAAAAGUGUUUUAAUAAGUUUUACAAUUUUGUUACUUUCAAUACUUGAAAGCAGUUUUCUGAGUAUUAAAUUAAAUAUUAAUUUAUCAUAUAUGUGAAAUGACUUAAAGUCUUGAUUGAUUAGGUGUUUAAAAAAAUGGUUAAGUAUAACGAGUUUUAACAUAGUCUAAUAUUUUUUUAAUUAUUGAAUACAAAAUAAAUAUAGUAAUUAGGUGUUUUUAUUUUACUGUAAAUAUUAUAAUAUGUAUGUAGACAAAAUGAAUGAAUAUUAUAAAAAAAAUCAAAAUAGAAUGAAAAAUAAAAGUUUAUGAUUGAAAUGAUAUUUAAAGUAAAAAUAAUCAUAACUCAAGCAAAAUAAUAUCUUUAAGAUUAAAAAAGUAAAAUGAUAAGAAAAAGAAGUCUUUGACAUAAAAUACCUGUAGCCAAAGAAAAAUAAAAUUGUUAUGGUUUUUUUUUCUAUAAGUAUAUUUUAAUAAGAUUUCUAAUUGAGUUAUAUUAUUAUUCAUUAAGUAUUCAUAAUUAAAAUAUUACUCAUAUGUCUUAUGUUUAACUAUUGGAAGUACAAUAAUAAAUUUAAAUAAUAAGUAUCAAUUUUUUAAUUCUUUUAAUUGAAUUAUUUUUAUUAUUUUUUUAGAUUUGUAUAUUAUAAGAGUUAGCUAACAUAGCUAAGUUAAUCAUAUAUCAAUUUAUUAUUUAUUAUUGAAUCAUUUUAUUAUUUUAUUAAUAGUUUUAUGUGAACUAUUUUAAAAUUUUGUUAAGUUAAAUUAGUAUAAAAUAAAUUUAUAUAAUUUCAUGUCAAUUGAGUUAAAAUAUUUUUGACAUAUGCUUCGUGUUUCUUAACUAGAUGUUUAACUUUAUUUGAUAACUAGUUUUUAUUUUAGGGUUAGGAUAAAAAAAAUUUUUGAUUUUCUAUUUUUAUAUUUCCUAGUUUAAUAUGUUUAAUUGAAUAGUAUUAACCAAUCUAAUUCAAAAUUAGUAUUAUAUAACUUUAAUCAACCAAUAAAAUUAAAAGUUUUUCAAUUAGGAAGAAACUAAAUUAUCAUUAAUAAUAUUGUUAAUCAAUCAAUAACAUUCAAAUAAAAUUUGAAAUUCCUAUACAUGCAAAAAAAUUAUGAUUUAUGUUAUAAAAUAACAUAAAACUAUGGAGAGUAGAGAGAAGGAAUAGAGAGUAAAAUAUGAGAAUAAUCUUUAUUGAUGAGAAGCCACACAUAUAUAUAUAUGCACAUGAAUGGUACAUAAUUAGGAUAAUAAACUACUACAUUAAAUAGACUUGUAGACUAAUAACGAAUAUAGACUUCUAGCCUACACGAGACAUCCACUAAUUUCAUAACACCCUUAGAUGUCCAUUCUUAAAAGAACAUGUCUCGUUAAAAUCUUACUAAGAAAAAAUUCUGUGAAAAAAAAAAAUCUUAGUGAAAGAAAACGAGUACAUUAUUCUUUUAUUAAAUAGGCGAUGAAAUACCGUCUCAUUAAAAAUCUUUCUCAAAAAAAUACAGUGGGAAAAAACCUUGAUUAAAAGGAAAAAGAGUAUAAUGCGUGCUUACUUCAUUCAUGAAGAGAAAUCUUGAGAUCUUUGAGUUUAUACACUCCAAUUUUGUUUAUCAAUUCUUCAAAACAUGUGAUAAAAAGCUUGUAAUAAAAAACUUAUAGUGAAAAGUAUUUUGAUGAGCAAAUCAACAAUAUUGUUGUUUGAGUGGUUGAAUUUUAAUAUUACCAUUCUUUUUGGAGACCAUGAGUGAAGAAAAUCUCAUUUCUUGUCUCCUCUAGCAUAUUUUUUUCUUUAAGAGAAAUGUGUAUAUGAAGUAUUAUCUUCUUAUAAUAUUGUAGAAAAUUCAUUUCUGUACAAGUAGACUCCACGUACUUUGAACAUGUUGAAACACUUAUCUCGAUUAAAUGCAUUCUCGUCUUUCUUCAUGUAUUGCUAAGAUUUCCAUGCUUAAAAGAAGUAUUUAGCAAUACUCUGUCUCGGACCAUUUUCACAAUCUCAUGGUGAUCCAUUUCAUCCCAAUUACAUCCAGAAAUAAGGCACAACAUUAUCACAUCACAAGUAAUCAAAUCAACUCAUACAAUAUAAUAAAUCACAUAGCAGAUCAUACAUACGCACGAGCAUAUGUUAUUAUAAUUUUAAGGUGGAUUAGUAAUGUAACUAAAUAUAUCUUAAUAAUAUGGUAUUAAAUGAGUAAAAGCUGGAUAUCAUUUGUAUAUAUAUUCAUAAAAUAUGAAAUGGGUGAUGCAUGUAUGUAAAUGAUAGUAUGCAUCAUUUAUUAUACUCAUAGUGAUAACAAAUAGAGCAAACUUUAGCUUGAAUUUUGAUUAGCAGGAGCGGUAGAUGAACACGGACGAUCUAGAUAAAACACAAAUAUAAAGAAAAUACUGCAUUAAAUAAAUGACUUUCCUUAAAUAAGAAUUUAAAUAAUUAAUUUAACAUAUAUUUGCUAAAUAUUUACAUGCUAUAACUAAUCUAAAUCUUAUGAAUUCUUCUAACAACAUUUUCCCUGUAAUAGCACUUUCCACUUGUUCGAAUAUUAACUAUUUAAUAUACUUACUGAUUAUUGCAAAUACAGCUCAUUUAUAAAGUAAUCAAUCAAUUCAAGUAUCCAAACACUACAAAUAGCAAUUUAUAUUCAACUCUUAGCUCAUUAAUUAAAAAUAGAUCUUCAAUUUGAUUUCGGUAUAUCCUGAUAUAUCAUCCUAAUAUCCUAUUUUACCAUCACCUUAAUUCAUAUGAUAUAACCUUAAUCUCAAAAUAAUUGCUACCUCUCUCCAUUAAUAAAUUUCUUUUUUUCCUUAAAUUAUUUUCAAAAAAUAACUUGUUAAGUAUUUAAUUUAUUUCCUCUUUCAGUUUAUCACUCAAAUGUAUACUAACUAAUUCAGGAUUUAUAAAACUAUUCCUUCAUUUUGACAUAUGAUUAUUAACCCAGAUUUAUCCAAAGACAAUGACAUACUAUAAUAUUGACAAUAUUUACAUAUAUUCGAUAAAAUAACUUUAGCUCCACAAUAAAUAUUGCCUAUUAAAAUAAUAGAUCCUACUCUAUUUCAUAUUUUCAUAUCAUGUCUCAAGCAAUUCCUUAUAAGAGAUCACUUAAAUUAUGUUCUAUCCUUAACUUUCCAUCCAAACUAAAUUAUGAGGUUACAUUCUUUUAUAGUUUAAUGUACAAUAUAUAUAUAUAUAUAUAUAUAUAUAUAGUCCGGGCUACCAUAAACCUAUAGUGUAAUUCCCAUCAAUAUUACUAUCAAAAUUCUUCAAUUAAAUUUAUUUAACAGUAAAAUUUACCUUAAUUUAUUAAAGCUUUCUAAUCAAAUUAAUACUCACAAACAAUUUAUUCAAAUUUAUUAAAACCCUUUAAUUAUAAUUUAUAUUUUUAAACCAUAUUGGGGAAAUACCCAAAAAUGUAGUACUGUUAGGGUGGCUUGGCCGGAGCCGACAAGAGUGGCGGCUGUGUUCGCCGGAACAAAGAGAAAGAAGGCUCAGAGCCCUUGGAGUUGCCUGACCACGCCAAAGUCACCGGAAAAUCGAAAAGAGCAGCGACAAGAGGACCGAUACGCAGCUGUCUCGUUCGCAACUCACACAGCCCAACUAUUUCCUUUGCUGCGCUAAACAAGACUCAAACAAGGCACGAGGAGGAUCGAGGCCAAGUCGCCGGCGAGCAAGGGCUUGAGGUCCGCCGGAGAGAGAGCAAGGAUGCAGAGGCCGCGACUUGAGUGGCGGUUGGUGGUUGAGAUCGCGAGGAAUAGCAAUCGAAAGCUGCUGCUUGUUGCGUUUACUGGAAAUAGAGACAGGGAGGGAGAGCGGUGAUGCGACGGCUGGCUGUGACGAUCGGAGAGAGAGAGAGAGAGGUUGAGCGUCGCUGAAAGAAAGAAAAUAAAUAAAAAAAAAAAGAAAAAGAAUGGAAGGAAGAUUCUAGGGUUUAUAGGUAAUCUGGUUCGAUUUGAAUCGAUUUGGUCGAACUCAGAGGUUUAGUUUUCAUCUGAUUUACAGAUUUUUCAUCCGGUUUGAAGAUUUUCAACUGAUUUAUGGGUCUGAUUUAAUAAUAAUACAAUAUUUUAUUUUAAAUUUUGUUGUAUAAUUUCAUUGGUUGCAAUUAAAAAUUAAUUUUUAAAUGGAAAAUCUUAUGAUUUUUUUUUCAGGGUUAUUUCAUUGGUGGUAAAUGGUGAGUGGUGGUACUGAUUACCAAUAAUUAAUAAAUUAAAAAAUAUAGAUUUAUAAGUUUAUAAUAUGUUUGUCAAAAAUAUUUUACGCUCUUAAAAAUGAAAAUUUAUUUCCCUUGAAAAUAACUUAAUUUUUAUUUGAAAAUGACUUAAUUUUUCCUUAAACAGGAAAAUAUUUUUCUUUGACUUAUUUUCCUUAACACCUUAAACAAUAAAAACUUGUGAAAAAUAUUUUUUUGUAAAUUAUUUUAAACCAGCGUGUUAAUUAUUAUUUACAGGAGAUAAGAUUAAAAAUCAUGAACAUUCAAUCGGUUUAAUUUAAAUGAAAAAUCUCAACAGAUGCAAAUGGAAUAUAUUAAAACUUUCUAGAUGUAACUGAAAAUAAACUAAAAAUUGAAUAAUUGAAUAAUAUAUAAAAUCAUAUCUAACUGAAUUUGUUUGAUUCAAUAUGGUUUAGUUUCUAAUUAUUUCUAUGAAAUUUGAGCUUAUUUCCUGGAUUUAAUAGAAAUCGGAAAUACAAAAUUUUGAUUUUUCAAAACAGAAAUAAAACUAAAUAUGAAAAAUAUCAAACCGAACAGCUUCAUAAAUUAAAAAAAAAAAACAAAAAAAAACAAAACGCGUGUUCAUAGAUGAGAAACGACAAGGGAGUUGUGUGAAUGAUGAGUGCAGACACAACUAUCACAAUUGAGUUACUUACUGACUAAGUAUUUCUGUUAUUGUCCACACAUUUUUGUUGUUCAAUUCCCUUGGAGGUUACGCAUGUAAAUGUCUAUUUAAGACCUUCUCAAAUGUCAUCAACCUCAAACCCCUCUUUCUAGCACACAUUUUUGCCCGCAACAAUGUCAAAAGAAAAGAAGAAGAGCAACAAACAACUCACCUCACCCAACCACAACCCAAAUCUAUGGCCAGAUCUACCCCAACAACUUCUCUAUCAACUAGCAAGAAAACCCUCAUUAAUGCUAGAAAUUUAUUCCAAGGGAGCAACAAAGUCAUGGAGAACAGAACCAAACAAGUGCAGUAAAUCAUCAAAUGCAACCCUACCAUGGCUUGAAGUCUCUACUGAUAAUGAAAAUAGCCAAAACCAACCUCACACCUUCAAUAUAUCGUUUAGAAGUGGAUCCUAUUCGUAUCGGAGUCCACAGUAUAGCCCCGUAAUAGAAGGCUACCAUUUUCUUGGAUGUUCUUAUGGUUUAUUAAUCUCUAAAGGAGAUUCAGAUUAUAAAUUAUGGGAUCCAAUUGAUAAUGGAUGGUGGCAUCUUCCUUUAUGGGAUAAUAGAAUUCCAUUUCUAUGCACUGCUUUAUCUUCUAUGCCGAUGAUAGAUAAUAAAAAGAAUAAAAGUACUUUGAUUGUAUUAACAGGUAUUUCUAAUCCAGCUUUUGCUUAUUGUAGAAUAUGGGAAGGUGGAGAUUGGAUUAAAAAAGAUAGCAAUAUUGUGGAUCCGAAUGAUCAUAAAGGUCAUCUUUUAAAAUUUAGCAAUGGGAUUUGGUUUAAAGAAAAAUUUUAUGCUUUGAGUUUGCAGGGAACUCUUGCAGUUAUUGAAGAAAUUGAUUGUGAUCUUAGAAUUACUGCUGUUGGGAAGAAAAGAGCUGCUCCCUCUGGUUCGUGUAUGCAUUUUAAAGAAUGCUUGGUUGAAUCAGAAGGGAAGCUUUUGCUUAUUUUUCUUAUUUCUAAAAAUUCUAUCAAAACUGUGGAUUUUGUGGAGGUUUACGAGCUUAAUACUGAUAAAUUGGCUUGGAUCAAGAAGGAUAACAUUGAGAAUAAGACGUUGUUCGUAGGUGCUAAUUGUUGUAUGUUUACCUUUGGAAAUAAAGUAGGAUUCAAGGGAAAUUGUAUUUAUUUUAGUAAUAGUUAUGGUGAUGGUUGGUGGGUAUAUGAGAUGGAAACAGGUUCUGUCUCUCGUUGUAGCAUCUCCAAUCCAGAUAAGUCCCAAAAUUUAGUUGAAUAAUUGAACAAUUUCUAUGCUAAAAAUAUCCUCCGCUUAUCUAAUUUGUGCUGUAUUUCCAGACCAUAUUUUUGCCACCAACUAUAUGUUUGUUAAAAUGCUUCAAAGAAGUAUAUGUGUUGUUGUUUAUUAAAAACUUGAAAGUAGUGUAAUAUUCCUCUUAUGUGUUUGACAAAAACUGUUUGAUAUAUUGAAUUUCUUGGUUGUUUUCCAGAUUUUGCCAGAUUUUGAUAUUGAAUGCCAAAGAUAUUGAUAUAAUUUUUGUAAAUUUUCAGUUGCUUUUUCCUUGCUCUGCUGGCUAACAAUCAUUAUGCAUAUUAGAUGCCAACAACCUCUCUGUUUCAAGAAAUGAGUUCAUGGGCUCGAAUUGCCUUGCCUUCUUCCUUUUUGGUAUGAACUACAUUUCUGGCAUCCUGUUUGAGAUGUUAAAUUAGUAACCCAGCAUGGACUUUUGGAGAUUUUGAGGGUGCAAGUAAACAUGUUGCCCGAGUGGUCAAAUAAACUUUCUUUGUCAUUAUGGCCAAUUUCAGAGGCUGUUAAGUUAAUCUUAUAAUGUAAAUGACAAAUUAUUUUAUACUGUGAUUUUGAAUUAAUAAAAGAAAAGUAUUUUC
rnacentral:lncRNA from 1 species